rnacentral:rRNA from 1 species
CUGAAUUUAAGCAUAUUAAUGAGGGGAGGAAAAGAAACUAACAAGGAUUUUCUUAGUAGCGGCGAGCGAAAAGAAAUCAGUUCAGCACUAAGUCACUUUGUCUUUAUGGCAAAUGUGAGAUGCAGUGUAUGGAAUGUCAAAUUUCUAGUAUGAGAAAUUAACGAUUUAAGUCCUUCUUAAAUGAGGCCAUUUACCCAUAGAGGGUGCCAGGCCCGUAUAACGUUAAUGAUUACUAGAUGGCAUUUCCAAAGAGUCGUGUUGCUUGAUAGUGCAGCACUAAGUGGGUGGUAAACUCCAUCUAAAACUAAAUAUAACCAUGAGACCGAUAGUAAACAAGUACCGUGAGGGAAAGUUGAAAAGAACUCUGAAUAGAGAGUUAAAUAGUACGUGAAACUGCUUAGAGGUUAAGCCCGAUGAACCUGAAUAUCCAUUAUAGAAAAUUCAUCAUUAUGAUUUUAAUAUUAAUAAUAUUAUAAUAAUGGUGUGCAUUUUUUCUAUAACGGACAUUGUAAUCUAUUAACAUAAAUAUAUUUAUCAUAAGAUCAAUGAUGCGUAAGUUUAUUCAAAUUAUUUUGCUUGCAAUUUAACAUAGAAUAAAUGCUCUUGAUUUGAUAAAGUGUUGAUAGAUUUAUUGUAUAUAGUGCUUAAAUAUUUAUAUUUUAUAAUAGCAUAUUAAUCAUUGAUUUUUAUGUUUAUUAUAUGCACUUAUAUGAUUAACAAUGCGAAAGAUUCAGGAUACCUUCGGGACCCGUCUUGAAACACGGACCAAGGAGUCUAACAUAUUUGCAAGUUAUUGGGUAUCAAAACCUAAUAGCGAAAUUAACAUAACUUUAAUGGGAUUAGUUUUUAGAUUAUUUAUAGUCUAUUAAUUCAAUCCCGGGGCGUUCUAUAUAGUUAUGUAUAAUAAUAUUUAUAUUAUUUAUACCUCUAACUAGAGCGUACCUUGAGCAUAUAUGCUGUGACCCGAAAGAUGGUGAACUAUACUUGAUCAGGUUGAAGUCAGGGGAAACCCUGAUGGAAGACCGAAACAGUUCUGACGUGCAAAUCGAUUGUCAGAAUUGAGUAUAGGGGCGAAAGACCAAUCGAACCAUCUAGUAGCUGGUUCCCUCCGAAGUUUCCCUCAGGAUAGCUGGUGCAUUUAAAAAUUAUGUAAAAUAAUCUUAUCUGGUAAAGCGAAUGAUUAGAGGCCUUAGGGUCGAAACGACCUUAACCUAUUCUCAAACUUUAAAUGGGUAAGAACCUCACCUUUCUUGGUAUGAAGGUUGUGGUUGUGAUAUAAUGUGCCCAGUGGGCCACUUUUGGUAAGCAGAACUGGCGCUGUGGGAUGAACCAAACGUAAUGUUACGGUGCCCAAAUUAACAACUCAUGCAGAUACCAUGAAAGGCGUUGGUUGCUUAAAACAGCAGGACGGUGGACAUGGAAGUCGUAAUCCGCUAAGGAGUGUGUAACAACUCACCUGCCGAAGCAACUAGCCCUUAAAAUGGAUGGCGCUUAAGUUGUAUACCUAUACAUUACCGCUAAAGUAGAUGGUUUAUGUUCAAUUUCGGUUGGAUUAUAAACUUUGAAACUUUAGUGAGUAGGAGGGUACUAUGGUGAGCAUAGAAGUGUUUGGCGUAAGCCUGCAUGGAGCUGCCAUUGGUACAGAUCUUGGUGGUAGUAGCAAAUAAUCGAAUGAGACCUUGGAGGACUGAAGUGGAGAAGGGUUUCGUGUGAACAGUGGUUGAUCACGAGUUAGUCGGUCCUAAGUUCAAGGCGAAAGCCGAAAAUUUUCAAGUUAUAAUGAAAAAUAAUUUAAUUUAAUUAUUUAGUAAUUAAACACUUGAAUAAUUUUGAACGAAAGGGAAUACGGUUCCAAUUCCGUAACCUGUUGAGUAUCCGUUUGUUAAUAAAUAUGGGCCUUGUGCUCAUCCUGGCAACAGGAACGACCAUAAAGAAGCCGUCGAGAGAUAUCGGAAGAGUUUUCUUUUCUGUUUUAUAGUCGUACUACCAUGGAAGUCUUUCGAAGAGAGAUAUGGUAGAUGGGCUAGAAGAGCAUGACAUUUACUGUUGUGUCGAUAUUUUCUCCUCGGACCUUGAAAAUUUAUGGUGGGGUCACGCAAACUUCUCAACAGGCCGUACCAAUAUCCGCAGCUGGUCUCCAAGGUGAAGAGUCUCUAGUCGAUAGAAUAAUGUAGGUAAGGGAAAGUCGUCGAGGUAAGGGAAAGUCG